GGGUGUGAGGUCAACCCAGCUGUGACACCAUAUUGGUUUCCACGGUUGAUUUGGAUGAUCUGGCUGGCAUGGCUGGCUAGCCAGGGUUCCCUUCCUCUCUCACCACUCCAUGUGCCUCCCUCCUGAACGAGUGCACACUCAGUCUAAGAGAAUGACCUCACACAGAGGAGAGCCAUUCUUCAAUCAAGGGUAUGUGAGUAUUUGCACCCUCCUGUUAGAACCUCUACACGAGCUUUCAGCAACGCAAGUAGGGCUGGAGAGAUGGCUCAGUGGUUAAGAACAAUUGUGUUCAAUCAUU
ensembl:misc_RNA 7SK 7SK RNA